AUGAUUGAUAAAACUAAAUAAAAAUUUGAUGUAAACUUUAAUUUUUAAAAGUAAAACUAUAAUUUAGCGAUUUAAAAAUAAAUAAAGCUAAAAUAUAGAUAUAAAGUCCAAGCAAUCACCCCCGAGUCUCAAUCCCUCUCUCCUAACAAGAUCUAGACUUGCACAAAAAAAAUAUAUCUUCUUCACCUCUCUUUCUGUGUCUCUCCUCCUCUCCGACCCUCUCUCACUCUCCACGGUUCAUCUCUACGUCUCCUCUCCGACUCUCUCUCACUCUCACGGCACCUAUCUACAUCUCUUCUCCUACUCUCUCUCACUCUCCACGGCACCUCUCUAUUUUUGAUUUUGGUGCAGGUUGAAUAAUUGAACAAGCGAAGGAAUAUCAGAGGAGCAAUGCGACUGAAGUAAUAGAAUGUAGGGGCUGGAGUAAGAACAGAGGCUUGAGGUGCAUGCUCUGGAGGCUGGAGGCUGGAGGCUGGAGGCUGGAGGCGGAGGAUUAGGGUUACAAAGUGGAGGCCGGAGGCGGAGGAUUAGUGUUGCAAAGUGGAGGCUGAAGGCGGAUGAUUAGGGUUACAAAGUGGAGGCGGAGGCUCUGGAACGGCAACUUAGGUUUAGGUUUAGGUUAAUUAGUUUUUGGUUUAACAUUUUUAAUUGGGCAAAUUUCCAAAAUAGCACUUUUCUAAGUUUGUAUCACAAAAAUAGCACUCAAAAACUAAAAUGAACAAAAUAACACCUUUCUAAGUUUAUACUUUGAAAAUUUUAA